AUUGAACGCUGGCGGCAUGCCUUACACAUGCAAGUCGAACGGCAGCACGGGGAGCUUGCUCUCUGGUGGCGAGUGGCGAACGGGUGAGUAACGCGUAGGAAUCUGCCUAGUAGUGGGGGACAACUCGAGGAAACUCGAGCUAAUACCGCAUAAUCUCUACGGAGCAAAGUGGGGGACCUUCGGGCCUCACGCUAUUAGAUGAGCCUGCGUCAGAUUAGAUUGUUGGUGGGGUAAUGGCCUACCAAGUCGACGAUCUGUAGCUGGUCUGAGAGGAUGACCAGCCACACUGGGACUGAGACACGGCCCAGACUCCUACGGGAGGCAGCAGUGGGGAAUAUUGGACAAUGGGCGAAAGCCUGAUCCAGCAAUGCCGCGUGUGUGAAGAAGGCCUUAGGGUUGUAAAGCACUUUCGAUAGGAAAGAAAAAGCCAAAGGUAAUAUCUUUGGAAAUUGACGCUACCUAUAGAAGAAGCACUGGCUAACUCUGUGCCAGCCGCCGCCGUAA
rnacentral:rRNA from 1 species